rnacentral:lncRNA from 1 species
CCCCCAAACUUAAGUUUUUAUCUAAAUUUAGCCAUCUCUGCCUAUUCAUGUCUUUCAUUCCUUCAAACUAGUAUUAUCCUUAAAAAAUCCAUUAUGUAUCAAUUUAAACUUAAUCAGUUAACAUAGCUGUUAUUAACGUCCUAACCUUGAUUAUACCAGUUUCAAACAGGAAAAGAUUCAAUUCAUAACAAGAAAUCACAUCAAAGCCUUAAUAUUCAAUACUAUACUUAUCUACUUAAUUCCAGUCUCAUCAUUGGCCAAAAUAGACUUUUACUAUCUAACAGUUGGAAUCAUGAAAAUAUAAACUA